rnacentral:rRNA from 1 species
GACGAACCGUCCUAACGUUGUUCGGAAUCACUGGGCUUAAAGGGCGCGUAGGCGGGCAUGCAGGUCCGGGGUGAAAGCUUUCGGCUUAACCGGAAAAGGGCCUUGGAUACUGCAUGUCUAGAGGGGAGGUAGGGGUCGUGUGGAACUUCGGGUGGAGCGGUGAAAUGCGUUGAUAUCCGAAGGAAGCGCCGGUGGCGAAAGCGGGGCCCUGGACCCUUGUCUGACGCUGAGACGCGAAAGCCAGGGGAGCGAACGGG